CCUACGGGUGGCAGCAGUGGGGAAUCUUCCGCAAUGGACGAAAGUCUGACGGAGCGACGCCGCGUGAGUGAUGAAGGCCCUUGGGUCGUAAAGCUCUGUCAUCGGGGACGAACGGCUUUAUCAGGAAAUGGGUAGAGAUUGACGGUACCCGAGAAGGAAGCCACGGCUAACUACGUGCCAGCAGCCGCGGUAAUACGUAGGUGGCGAGCGUUGUCCGGAAUUAUUGGGCGGGGGGCUCGUAAGGGUGGGAUGAAAGUUCGGAGCUUAACUCCGUGAUGGGAUGGAAACUGAGAUUCUUGAGUAUCGGAGAGGAAAGCGGAAUUCCCCGUGUAGCGGUGAAAUGCGUAGAUAUGGGGAGGAACACCAGUGGCGAAGGCGGCUUUCUGGACGAUGUCUGACACUGAGGCGCGAAAGCCAGGGGAGCGAACGGGAUUAGAUACCCCUGUAGUC
rnacentral:rRNA from 1 species